GCGGACUGCGGGCCGGAGACUGCUCACCACAACGCUGCGGCUUGCUCCAGCCGCCAACACGCGUAUUGCCGCCGCCAUUUCUGCUCUGCCGGCCAGCCCCCAACCUUGUGCGUCUGAGUACGCAUGAGUUAUUCACCUGGAUUUACAGGGAAGCUGAGGAUCCAAAGCCUUAAGUCAUGUGGCUGGACAAAGCCCACCUGACUCCGUGGAGUCUCCCUGGUCUGGCCAUUCUAUGCCAGUCAGCAAUCACUGUCAGCAAAGCUGGGUGAAAUAGAAGGAAGGAGUAAAUCUGGAAGAGGUCACACAUAUUUGGGAGAGUGUGUUAUCUGGAUCUUCUAAGAAGCAGCUGCCAAGAGAGGAAUUAAGUGUGCAAGAAAUCAAUUAGGGGAACAACCUGUGAGAGAAAAUGGGGCAGCAGCUGGGAGAGGCUGGAAGAACUAUCAGAUUGCAAUGAGAGUCUGAACCCCAUUCAAGGAGAGAGAGAAGGAAGAAAAGUGACUGGGAUCUCCUUAGACUACUGUGCACUUUUAAGGAAAGUUCAGCAAGGCUAUUAAGGAGUCCUAGAGGCAAAUAUUCCUGCCCCUUGUUUGGCGGCGAGCAGCCCACGAGAGGUGUGGCCUCAGUACGAAUUCAGCAAUUAAUUUCAUAACAGCUGGUGCUCUCGGUCAAUUACUCUUAAUGCAACCCAGGUGUCUUAUCACCUCAGCAAGUCUGGGGUGAUUGGAAGUAAGGGGUGUGAGAGAGAGGAAAUUUUGGAGGGCAGCUGCCAUCCACAUGGGAAGAGAGGAUAUUU